AAGUCAGGUAGUAAGGGCGCAGGGCGGAUGCCUUGGCUCUGGGAAGCGAUGAAGGACGUGGCUAGCUGCGAUAAGCCUCGGGGAAGAGCAAACAUCUUUUGAUCCGGGGAUUUCCGAAUGGGGGAACCCGCAUGGCUGUUGAGGCCAUGCACUGUUGAGUGAAUACAUAGCUCAUCAGGGCGAACUCGGGGAACUGAAACAUCUCAGUACCCGAAGGAAUAGAAAUCAACCGAGAUUCUGCUAGUAGCGGCGAGCGAACGCGGAAGAGCCCAAACCAUCAGGUGCGCCUGAUGGGGUUGUAGGGCCGUCAAUAAAGGAUAAUUGGAGAAUUAGCUGAAGUGUCUGGGAAGGCACGGCACAGAGGGUUAGACCCCCGUAAGCGAAAGUUUGAAGAUGUCCGAGACGGUACCUGAGUAGGACGGGACACGAGAAAUCCCGUUUGAAUCUGGGGGGACCACCCUCCAAGGCUAAAUAUUACCCAGAGACCGAUAGUGAACCAGUACCGUGAGGGAAAGGUGAAAAGCACCUCGAAUAGAGGAGUGAAAUAGAUCCUGAAACCCUGUGUCUACAAGCAGUGGAAGCACUACUGAUCUUCGGAUCAUGUGCGACCGCGUGCCUUUUGCAUAAUGAGCCAACGAGUUGUCUGUCGGUGGCAGGUUAAGUUUUUAACGAAGCCACAGCGAAAGCGAGUCCGAAAUGGGCGUUAGUCAUCGGCAACAGACCCGAAACCGAGUGAUCUACCCCUGUCCAGGUUGAAGCCUGGGUAAGACCAGGUGGAGGACCGAACCGUUGAGCCUUAAAACGUUCUCGGAUGAGGUGGGGGUAGGAGUGAAAGGCUAAUCAAACUCGGAGAUAGCUGGUUCUCCCCGAAAUAUAUUGAGGUAUAGCCUCGUGAUAGACCGCCGGAGGUAGAGCACUGGAUGGACUAGGGCCCUCACCAGGGUACCAAACCCAACCAAACUGCGAAUACCGGCGAGUUGUUUCACGGGAGUCAGACAGCGGGAGCUAACUUUCGUUGUCGAGAGGGAAACAACCCAGACCAUCAGCUAAGGCCCCCAAGUCAUGACUAAGUGGGAAAGGAAGUGGGAGCGCCCAGACAACCAGGAGGUUGGCUUAGAAGCAGCCACCCUUUAAAGAAAGCGUAACAGCUCACUGGUCGAGCGAGCCUGCACCGAAAAUAUAACGGGGCUCAAGUCAUGCGCCGAAGCUAUGGGAUUUAUAUUUAUAUAAAUCGGUAGGGGAGCGUUCCCUGUGCGGCGAAGCUGAAUCGAGAGGGUCAGUGGAGCGCAGGGAAGUGAGGAUGUUGGCAUAAGUAACGAAAAUGCGAGCGAGAAACUCGCACGCCGAAAGCCCAAGGUUUCCCGGGCCAUGUUAUUCAGCCCGGGGUUAGUCGGCACCUAAGACGAGGCCGAAAGGCGUAGUCGAUGGAAAACCGGUUCAUAUUCCGGUACUUGCAUGUGCGCGUGAUGGAGGGACGCAGGAGGAUAGCCCGGCCAAGUGAUGGAUAUCUUGGUUCAAGGCCGUAGGCGGAAGUCUCAGGUAAAUCCGGGACUUCUAUAACGCCGAGAGUCGAUGACGAGAGGCUUUGCUUCGCAAAGCGGUCGAUUCCACACUGCCAAGAAAAGCUUCUAAGCAUAGCACAGGCAAACCGUACCCCAAACCGACACAGGUGGGCGGGUAGAGAAUACCAAGGCGCUUGAGGGAAAUCAUGUUAAGGAACUCUGCAAAAUAACUCCGUAACUUCGGAAGAAGGAGUGCCUGCGGUGGUGAAGGGACUUGCUCCCUGAGCUGCUGCGGGCCGCAGUGACCAGGCCCAGCCGACUGUUUAGCAAAAACACAGCACUCUGCUAAAUCGCAAGAUGAUGUAUAGGGUGUGACGCCUGCCCGGUGCCGGAAGGUUAAUGGGAGGGGUUAGUUCUUCGGAACGAAGCUCCGAACUGAAGCCCCGGUAAACGGCGGCCGUAACUAUAACGGUCCUAAGGUAGCGAAAUUCCUUGUCGGGUAAGUUCCGACCUG
rnacentral:rRNA from 1 species